AUUGAACGCUGGCGGCGUGCCUAACACAUGCAAGUCGAGCGGCAGCGCGGGAGCAAUCCUGGCGGCGAGCGGCGAACGGGUGAGUAAUGCUUCGGAAUCUGCCCAUGUAGUGGGGAAUAACCAGCCGAAAGGUUGGCUAAUACCGCAUACGACCUACGGGUGAAAGCAGGGGAUCGUAAGACCUUGCGCUAUUGGAUGAGCCGAAGUCGGAUUAGCUUGUUGGGAGGUAACGGCUCACCAAGGCGACAAUCCGUAGCUGGUCUGAGAGGACGACCAGCCACACUGGGACUGAGACACGGCCCAGACUCCUACGGGAGGCAGCAGUGGGAAUAUUGGACAAUGGGGCAACCCUGAUCCAGCGACGCCGCGUGUGUGAAGAAGGCCU
rnacentral:rRNA from 1 species